rnacentral:antisense_RNA from 1 species
GUCUAUGGCGGACCGUGCAAGGCGGGCUUCGGCCCGGCCGGUUGUUGCGACAUCGGUUUUCCACCCCUGCACGGUCCGCCUCCCUU